GACGAACGCUGGCGGCGUGCCUAACACAUGCAAGUCGAACGGGGUGUCGGGAGCUUGCUUCUGACACUUAGUGGCGAACGGGUGAGUAACGCGUGAGGAACCUGCCUUUCAGUGGGGGACAACAGUUGGAAACGACUGCUAAUACCGCAUAACGUAUUCGGACCGCAUGAUCUGAAUACCAAAGCUUUAUGUGCUGAAAGAUGGCCUCGCGUCUGAUUAGCUAGUUGGUGGGGUAACGGCCCACCAAGGCGACGAUCAGUAGCCGGUCUGAGAGGAUGAACGGCCACAUUGGGACUGAGAUACGGCCCAGACUCCUACGGGAGGCAGCAGUGGGGAAUAUUGGGCAAUGGGCGCAAGCCUGACCCAGCAACGCCGCGUGAAGGAAGACGGUCUUCGGAUUGUAAACCUCUGUCCUUGGUGAGAAACAUGACGGUACCUGGAGAAAAAGCCACGGCUAACUACGUG
rnacentral:rRNA from 1 species